UAUCACAGCCAUAUCACCGUGCAGCCCAAGACCGGUUACUGAAGCUAAGCAGGCCUCAGCCUGGUCACUACCUGAAUGGGAGACUACAUGAGAAAACUAGGUUGCUGUUGUAA
rnacentral:rRNA from 1 species